rnacentral:miRNA from 1 species
CCCCUCGGCGGUGUGCACGG